rnacentral:tRNA from 1 species
GGCGAGGUAGCUCAGUCGGUAGAGCGCAGGACUGAAAAUCCUGGCGUCCCCGGUUCGAUUCCGGGCCUCGCCACCA